UAAUUUUAAAAUAGAUGUGCAAUAAAAAUAUUAAAAUUAACAGAGAAAUAGAAUAUAUUAAAAUACAUUAAUAAAAGACUACAUAUUGAACUGGUCACUAAAAAGAUAUUGGUGCAAUUGCUUCUUAAAAGAUGGUAAAGAUUGUGCAUUCCUUAUCGAGAGAGGGAGGCUGUUCCAGAGUGUUGGUGCAGCCACAAGCAUGGAUCUUGCCCUGUACUGGUGCGUGCUUUGGGGACGUGUCUGGUAGGAACAGUGCUCCAGUCACUCACAUAUGGCAAAUAAAACAAAUAGCUCGGUACGUUUCCCUUUAUGAUGUUAUAGGUCAUUACGCCUAGUUCCCUUUAUGAUGUUAUAGGUCAUUACGCCUAGUUCCCUUUAUGAUGUUAUGGGUCAUUACGCCUAGUUCCCUUUAUGAUGUUAUAGGUCAUUACGCCUAGUUCCCUUUAUGAUGUUAUGGGUCAUUACGCCUAGUUCCCUUUAUGAUGUUAUGGGUCAUUACGCCUAGUUCCCUUUAUGAUGUUAUAGGUCAUUACGCCUAGUUCCCUUUAUGAUGUUAUAGGUCAUUACGCCUAGUUCCCUUUAUGAUGUUAUAGGUCAUUACGCCUAGUUCCCUUUAUGAUGUUAUAGGUCAUUACGCCUAGUUCCCUUUAUGAUGUUAUAGGUCAUUACGCCUAGUUCCCUUUAUGAUGUUAUAGGUCAUUACGCCUAGUUCCCUUUAUGAUGUUAUAGGUCAUUACGCCUAGUUCCCUUUAUGAUGUUAUAGGUCAUUACGCCUAGUUCCCUUUAUGAUGUUAUAGGUCAUUACGCCUAGUUCCCUUUAUGAUGUUAUAGGUCAUUACGCCUAGUUCCCUUUAUGAUGUUAUGGGUCAUUACGCCUAGUUCCCUUUAUGAUGUUAUAGGUCAUUACGCCUAGUUCCCUUUAUGAUGUUAUAGGUCAUUACGCCUAGUUCCCUUUAUGAUGUUAUAGGUCAUUACGCCUAGUUCCCUUUAUGAUGUUAUAGGUCAUUACGCCUAGUUCCCUUUAUGAUGUUAUAGGUCAUUACGCCUAGUUCCCUUUAUGAUGUUAUAGGUCAUUACGCCUAGUUCCCUUUAUGAUGUUAUAGGUCAUUACGCCUAGUUCCCUUUAUGAUGUUAUAGGUCAUUACGCCUAGUUCCCUUUAUGAUGUUAUAGGUCAUUACGCCUAGUUCCCUUUAUGAUGUUAUAGGUCAUUACGCCUAGUUCCCUUUAUGAUGUUAUAGGUCAUUACGCCUAGUUCCCUUUAUGAUGUUAUAGGUCAUUACGCCUAGUUCCCUUUAUGAUGUUAUAGGUCAUUACGCCUAGUUCCCUUUAUGAUGUUAUGGGUCAUUACGCCUAGUUCCCUUUAUGAUGUUAUAGGUCAUUACGCCUAGUUCCCUUUAUGAUGUUAUAGGUCAUUACGCCUAGUUCCCUUUAUGAUGUUAUAGGUCAUUACGCCUAGUUCCCUUUAUGAUGUUAUAGGUCAUUACGCCUAGUUCCCUUUAUGAUGUUAUAGGUCAUUACGCCUAGUUCCCUUUAUGAUGUUAUAGGUCAUUACGCCUAGUUCCCUUUAUGAUGUUAUAGGUCAUUACGCCUAGUUCCCUUUAUGAUGUUAUAGGUCAUUACGCCUAGUUCCAUUU